rnacentral:lncRNA from 1 species
GGACCAUUGCCCAAGUUAUAAGGACUUUGUCUGGUGAUGGCCCUCAGUACACACUGCACAAAUCUGUUGAAUGGACAAGCUGAGAUGCAGGAUGCAUUUUACCAGGGGAGACAACUGAAUUAGUCUGAUCCACAGUGAACUUGGAGCACCUGCCCCCACAGAAGAAAGGCUGAGCGAACAUCACCAGACGGCUUGCAGGACACCCUGAUAGCAGCACCACCAGUUACAGACCCCACUGAGCUGCAGCUGUACUUCACAGACAUCCCUUGUGUUUAAAAGUUAAAACCCAUUUUUUAAGUAACUUUAAAGCACUGAAAAUAAAGGUUGUUCUCACAAA